GUGGGGAAUAUUGGACAAUGGGCGAAAGCCUGAUCCAGCCAUGCCGCGUGUGUGAAGAAGGUCUUCGGAUUGUAAAGCACUUUAAGUUGGGAGGAAGGGCAGUAAGUUAAUACCUUGCUGUUUUGACGUUACCGACAGAAUAAGCACCGGCUAACUUCGUGCCAGCAGCCGCGGUAAUACGAAGGGUGCAAGCGUUAAUCGGAAUUACUGGGCGUAAAGCGCGCGUAGGUGGUUUUGUAAGUUGGAGGUGAAAUCCCCGGGCUCAACCUGGGAACUGGCUCCAAAACUGCAUGACUAGAGUACGGUAGAGGGUAGUGGAAUUUCCUGUGUAGCGGUGAAAUGCGUAGAUAUAGGAAGGAACACCAGUGGCGAAGGCGACUACCUGGACUGAUACUGACACUGAGGUGCGAAAGCGUGGGGAGCAAACAGGAUUAGAUACCCCGGUAGUCC
rnacentral:rRNA from 1 species